AGACGCAUAGCUUAGUGGUUAGGGUUUUCGUCUUACGAUCUUAAGGUCGUGAGUUCGAUUUCCAUUGUGUCCU
rnacentral:tRNA from 1 species